rnacentral:tRNA from 1 species
CAUUAUGAAGCUAAACUAGCGCUAGCCUUUUAAGCUAGAAAAUGAGAGCUAAAUAACACUCUCCAUGAUGG